GGGAAAUCUAACAGAAGUGGGCGCUGAGAUUGCUUUGCAGUUGCCAGAAGAGAAAAGGAAAACAUAAUCAGGGAAGAGGUGACAGUGGGGAGAUUAUCUUCCUCCUGGUGGCUCAAGGCAAUUCGAAGAGAUAUCUGAGUAGGAGAGUAUUAACUCCUUUUUACCGAUGAAGAGAUUGACACAAAGAUGACUUAACCAAAAUCACUUACUCGUUAAGCUCCCAUUAUGGAACAAAAUAGAAUUUGUCUCCUGAUUCACAAGUUGCUUUUCUAUGAAAUAGAAAAUACUAAAUUAUAGUAAAUAUAUUAAAUAUUAAUUUAAACAUUGCCAAAUAUAUAAGGACAAAGAGACUAAAGAGAGUGUAAGAGUUAGAAUCAGGAAUACUUGAGUUUGGAUCCUUCCUCAGUCUCUUCCUACCAGUGUGACUCUGGACAAGUCUUUUAACUUUUUUCUGCUUUAGUUUCCUCAUCUGUAAAAUGAGAAUAAUAGCAUUAGCAUCUAGGGUGCUUGUAAAGAUCAGAUGAGUUGACAUUUAUAUUGAACUUUAAAGCAUCAUUACUGUUAUCAUUAUAUCCACACAAAAUAAAUUUGUCAAUUAACAUAAUAAUUAGUGGUUUAAUUAAUGGUUUAAUUGCUUUUCAUUUUUAUUCUCACAACAACUGGGAAGUUGAUGCUAUUAAUUGUCUCCAUUUUACAGAUAGGAAAACAGGCAGACUGAGGUUAAGUGAAUGAUUCAAGUUCAAAAAGCUAACAAGUGUCUGAGGCAAGAUUUGAACUUUGGUCUUCCUGAUUCUAGGCCCAGCAUUAUAUCUACUCCCUUUAUACCUAUACCUAGCUGUCUCUAAUAUCAUUUAUUGAUUAAUAGUAAGUGUUCCUUGUAUAUAUUUUUCAGGGUUUUAAAUAUCGAUUCUUGAUUUUGUCAUCAACAGACCAUCAAUUUUAAAAUUCCUAUUUCUUUAAAAUAGCUAAAUUUUAGCAAACUGUAAUCCUAUGUUUAAAUUUCACCUUCCACGUUGACUGGCUGGGUAACUGGACAAAUAUUGGAUUAAGAAUCACAGGGUCAGGAGAUAUCUCAGAUCCAAAUGGCCUUAACCUAUACUAGGCCAAAAAAAUUUUUUUUUAAAAUCCUCUUUGUAAAAUACCUAAGUGGUCAUCCAAUCUUAGUUUAAAGGCCACCGGUAAGGGGAAAAAUAACUAUCUCCCGAGGCAGCCGUGCCACUUUAGGAAAACUUUAACAAUAAGGAUAUUUUCCCUUAUGUCAAGCCUAAAUUUGCCUCUUUUGCUACCCUAAUUCUAAAUUGUGGGGCACGUUCAUUGUUUCAGAUAUCUAAAGAUAGAUCUUGCCUUCUCCCCAUCACUACCAAGUCUAUUCUUCUCCAGUCCAUAUGUCGCCAAUUCCUUCAACUGGCUGUCCCUAAGAUAGUAUUUUCUUCAGGUAAUCCCUCCGUCUUGACCAACCCUCUGAAUAGUCAUCAGUUUAUCAACAUCCUUCCAGAAUGGGGUGCCCAGGCCUGAAUGCCAUGCCACACAGAUGUGGUUCCAACCAGAGCACAUAUAAUGGACUUCACAAUGAAUUCUUCUUGGACACAAUUCGGAUCAUCACCAAUAUGAGCAGUGGCAGCAGCAAUAUUUACUUAAAACUUCAAAGUUUGUGGAAAUCCCUAUUAUAUUUCAUCUUAUUAAAUCUGACUCAAUGUUCCUGUCUGUUGAGAUACUUUUAGCUCCUAACUUUGUCAUCCAGAGUGUUAGCUAACUCUUAGUUUUGUGCAAUUUAAAUUAUUUGAUAAAUGUGCCAUAUGUUCUUUCUCCAAGGAAUUGAUAAAAAUAUUAAACAGCAUAAAUCCCUGGGACACUC